rnacentral:misc_RNA from 1 species
GAUGAAGAACGCAGCGAAAUGCGAUACGUAAUGUGAAUUGCAAAUUCAGUGAAUCAUCGAGUCUUUGAACGCACAUUGCGCCCCCUGGUAUUCCGGGGGGCAUGCCUGUCCGAGCGUCAUUGCUGCCCUCAAGCACGGCUUGUGUGUUGGGCCCCGUCCUCCGAUCCCGGGGGACGGGCCCGAAAGGCAGCGGCGGCACCGCGUCCGGUCCUCGAGCGUAUGGGGCUUUGUCACCCGCUCUGUAGGCCCGGCCGGCGCUUGCCGAUCAACCCAAAUUUUUAUUCAGGUUGACCUCGGAUCAGGUAGGGAUACCCGCUGAACUUAAGCAUAUCAAUAAGCGGAGGA